AACUUAUCUAGAGAGGUGGAGGGACUGGCCCAACGAAGCCUCGGCAACAGACUUAAUAAGAACUGUGCCAAUUCCAGCAAGUAUUUAACUUGAUAGAUAAGAA
rfam:Bacilli bacterium VT-13-104 contig062, whole genome shotgun sequence.